GAGUGUGGUCUUGUGCGAGGGUCGAGGGCGAGUGACGAGUGUGGGAGUCGAGUGCUAUGCGAGAGGGCGAGGGUUGUGACGAACCGAGCAUGCUGUGCGAAGGGUGUGAACGGUUCGCGCGUCGAGGCUGUGCGAACGUGCGUAGUGUGUUCAAGAGUGUUGGGUGUGUAUGUUGUUGUGCGAAUUCUGUUGGUGCGACAAGGUUGUCGUGCGAAUUCGAUGGUGAGACAAAUCUGGUUGCGCGAGGCUAGUGGUGCGAGCGGUUUGUGCGACGAACCUGGAUGUGCGCGCAGAAGUGGUGCGCGAGUGUGGUGGUGUGCGUCGUUGCCGGAAGUUGGUCGUUGGAGUUCGGUUGCCGGCGAAAGUCGGUGGUCCCAAUUUCAUAAGCGGCACGUUCGGUUAAUACAACAAAAAUUCUCCGUUACAAGGUGGAACUACUAAGAUAGCUACGAUUUGUAAUGUUGGAAAAUGUAGCAAUGAAAACAAAGCGCACAUUGAGAAAUGGUGCGCUUGCACCCUUCCCCAUGUCCGCUCGCACAAAGGAGCACAUUGCACAAUAAAAUCAUGAACAGAGAAAUUCAAAUGGACAUAACUUUCAAACCAAAAAUCAGAUGAAGGUAAUUCCAAUUGGAGGUGAAAGCUCAUUUCGAUAUCUUUCCAACGACUGGUCAUAAGCUUGAUUUGGAUAUAAAACGAAGAAGUUAUGUUCGUUUUGAGUUGAACUGUCCAGUUUGAGGCAGAAGGGUGAGGUGCGCUCGCACCUGAUUUUGGUGCGCCCACACCUCUGCUUGGUGCGCCCGCACCUGAUUUUGGUGCACCCACACCUCUGCUUGGUGCGCCCGCACCUCAUCUUGGUGCGCCCGCACCCUUCUUUUCCGGAAAGAAAAAAAAUUGUGGCUUCAUUAAAAUCGAGAGUUUUGUUUUAGUUUUUGGGACUUAUGUUUCAUUCUAGUUUUCUACUGAAUAUUUUAGGGUUUUUGUAUUAGAGAGAAAACACUUUAGUUUGAUAGAAAUUUGAGAUCAUCGAUUCAGGUUUGUGAUUCCAUUAACAUCAAA